GGAGAGUGGUGGCUCCGAGUCUGGAUUUGAAGGAAGACCGGUCCAUAAUUUUGAUGAUAAAAAUAUGAGGAAUGAUGACAAUGUUAGUGGUGAUGGUCAGAAGUUCGAGUAUUUUGGGUGGGUGUAUCAUCUAGGAGUCAAUUCAAUUGGGCGUGAGUAUUGCCACCUGCGGUUUCUCUUUAUACGAGGAAAGUAUAUGGAGAUGUACAAAAGAGACCCCCAUGAAGAUCCUUCUGCUGUAUGCAUCAAUUCAUUUUCAUAUCAUUUUUUUCAUUCACAAACGGGUUUUGUCCUUUUUAUAUUUAUUGUGUGGUUAUGUUGAGAAGAAUAUUGAAAAUGGUAGAGAUUGAGUAUUUUUAUAAAGAGCUGAAAAUGUUGGUUAUGAUCAAUGUUGAAUUAUGCUUGAAGUUUAGGAGAGCUGUUGAAUUGGGUAAUCUGGACAAGUAAGGGUCAACUUUUUCCGUUUGUGUAAUGCAUUUUCGCUUUCAUCUUUUAUUUAUUCUAAAUUGCUUGAAAAUAAGGAAAAAGUAAUUAUGGUCAAUGUUCUGUGCUUCAUUCAUCAUCAAUCACCUAAUGCUUAACUGCCUACGCAAUAGAUGUUUAAGAAAGGAGGAAAAAUAAUGCACACUAAAUAAGUUUGUUUGGAAGAUUUUCGUUGCAUCUGUAAUAUUCAUCAUCACAUAUAUAGAUCGUCCCCUAAAAUUUCUGUAUCUAGUUUCUCUCUCACACUCUCAAACGCGCAGAGAUCUCGGCGAUGGAUUCGGGAGAAAAAUUCAAGAAGGUGAGGCCUGAAGGAGCCUCGUCGGAGAGUGGUGGCUCCGAGUCUGGAUUUGAAGGAAGACCGGUCCAUAAUUUUGAUGAUAAAAAUAUGAGGAAUGAUGACAAUGUUAGUGGUGAUGGUCAGAAGUUCGAGUAUUUUGGGUGGGUGUAUCAUCUAGGAGUCAAUUCAAUUGGGCGUGAGUAUUGCCACCUGCGGUUUCUCUUUAUACGAGGAAAGUAUAUGGAGAUGUACAAAAGAGACCCCCAUGAAGAUCCUUCUGCUGUAUGCAUCAAUUCAUUUUCAUAUCAUUUUUUUCAUUCACAAACGGGUUUUGUCCUUUUUAUAUUUAUUGUGUGGUUAUGUUGAGAAGAAUAUUGAAAAUGGUAGAGAUUGAGUAUUUUUAUAAAGAGCUGAAAAUGUUGGUUAUGAUCAAUGUUGAAUUAUGCUUGAAGUUUAGGAGAGCUGUUGAAUUGGGUAAUCUGGACAAGUAAGGGUCAACUUUUUCCGUUUGUGUAAUGCAUUUUCGCUUUCAUCUUUUAUUUAUUCUAAAUUGCUUGAAAAUAAGGAAAAAGUAAUUAUGGUCAAUGUUCU
rnacentral:lncRNA from 1 species